ACAAACGUGGUCUAAAAGUUUUACGAAAUUCAUACAAAACUUUCCCACUUAAACUACUCCCUCUAAAAUUUCUAACUUAAACUAUUCCCCUCUAAAAUUUUCCAUAGCUUCACCCUCACUCUAGGUCUAGGGCUUGAAACCCAAUAAGAAAACUUUUUCUUUACUAGAUUUUUCAAAAGAAAGGACAGUCGAUGACACCCAGUCGGCGACGAUCUUCAGAAGAUGAUCUGAUUUAAUUCACUCGGCUUCUAAAGACAACAAGAAAGGUAUACACCAUUGGCCAUGGUCUGACCAAGAAGUACAGAGAUCUUCAGACAAUAAGCAUACCAUCCAGGUAUGGGAAGGCAAAGCUAUUGAUGAGAACAAAUAAAAUACAAAUGGGAAACUUAAGGUCCAGAAACAUUCAGAGUUUCUGCUGGUUUGAACAAGGAAAGGUUACAUGGGGCUUAAAUUAAUGUGGAGGUCAAGCUUACAAAAACGGAUCACUUUUAAAAUCAGGAGAUGAUGCGAUUGGACUUAAACCAGUCAUGUAUCAGAAAAAUUACAUGUAGCUAAGUGGAUAGCAAAUGAGGUUUCCAAUAGAUGCUAGCUUUAGCUGUUUGAUGUGUUUAAAGUAUUAUCAUGAUACAUAUAUAUUCAUUUUUUUUUAUGUUCA